rnacentral:rRNA from 1 species
AAAUCAAGCGCGAAAAGGGCGUUUGGUGGAUGCCUUGGCAGUAAGAGGCGAUGAAGGACGUGAUACUCUGCGAUAAGUCAUGGGGAGCUGAGAAUAAGCUUUGAUCCAUGAAUUUCCGAAUGGGGCAACCCACCUGAUACUUUGUUGUUAUUGCGAUUUAGGUCGCAGCUAACAGCGGGGUUAACCAGGUAUUUCUAGACUGAAUACAUAGGUUUAGAAAAGCAAACCCGGGGAACUGAAACAUCUAAGUACCCGGAGGAAAGGAAAUCAACAGAUACUCCCCUAGUAGCGGCGAGCGAACGGGGACCAGCCGAGCCAUGAGAGUGACAAGAAUAUCCUGGAAAGGAUAGCCAGAGUGGGUGACAGCCCCGUAUUGGAAGCUCAAUUGGACGUAUUAAGUAGGGCGGGACACGUGAAAUCCUGUCUGAACAUCGGAGGACCACCUUCGAAGGCUAAGUACUCCUUACUGACCGAUAGCGAACCAGUACCGUGAGGGAAAGGUGAAAAGCACCCCGACGAGGGGAGUGAAACAGUUCCUGAAACCGAACGCCUACAAGCAGUUGGAGGGUCCUUUAUUGAGGCCUGACAGCGUACCUUUUGUAUAAUGGGUCAUCGACUUGGUCUCACAAGCAAGCUUAAGCCGUUAGGUGUAGGCGCAGCGAAAGCGAGUCUUAAUAGGGCGAUUGAGUUUGUGGGAUCAGACCCGAAACCGAGUGAUCUAGGCAUGUCCAGGAUGAAGGUUAGGUAACACUAACUGGAGGUCCGAACCCACACCUGUUGAAAAAGGUCGGGAUGAGGUGUGCCUAGGGGUGAAAGGCCAAUCAAACUCGGAGAUAGCUGGUUCUCUGCGAAAUCUAUUUAGGUAGAGCGUCGUCCGAAUACCCUCGGGGGUAGAGCACUGGAUGGGUAAUGGGGCCUUACCGGCUUACUGAUCCUAACCAAACUCCGAAUACCGAGGAGUACUAGACGGCAGACACACAUCGGGUGCUAACGUCCGGUGUGAAAAGGGAAACAACCCUGACCUACGACUAAGGCCCCUAAUUCAUGGCUAAGUGGGAAAGCAGGUGGGACGACCAAAACAACCAGGAGGUUGGCUUAGAAGCAGCCAUCCUUUAAAGAUAGCGUAACAGCUCACUGGUCUAAAUAAGUUGUCCUGCGGCGAAGAUGUAACGGGGCUCAAGCCAUGAGCCGAAGUCUAGGGUGUAUAGCAAUAUACGCGGUAGCAGAGCGUAGUGUGACAUAGUUCCUUGUCUCUUUAGCAGUUUAGGCUGCUUUGGAGACGUGGAGCUUUCUGUGAAGCCCCCCUGUGAGGGAUGGGGUGGAGAGAUCACUAGUGAGAAUGAUGACAUGAGUAGCGACAAAGGGAGUGAGAGACUCCCUCGCCGAAAGUCCAAGGGUUCCUGCUUAAAGCUAAUCUGAGCAGGGUAAGCCGACCCCUAAGGCGAGGCCGAAAGGCGUAGUCGAUGGGAACCAGGUUAAUAUUCCUGGGCCGUGGAGUGGUGACGGAUCUGAGACGUAGUUCAUCCUUAUCGGAUUGAAUGGGCUGCUAACAGGUUCCUGGAAAUAGCCCUCCUUUAAGAUCGUACCCUAAACCGACACAGGUGGACUGGUAGAGAAUACCAAGGCGCUUGAGAGAACCACAUUUAAGGAACUCGGCAAAAUACCUCCGUAAGUUCGCGAGAAGGAGGCCCGUUCAGAACGCAAGUUUUGGGCGGGGGCACAAACCAGGGGGUGGCGACUGUUUACUAAAAACACAGGGCUCUGCGAAGUCGUAAGACGACGUAUAGGGUCUGACGCCUGCCCGGUGCCUGAAGGUUAAAAGGAGGAGUGCAAGCUCCGAAUUGAAGCCCAGGUAAACGGCGGCCGUAACUAUAACGGUCCUAAGGUAGCGAAAUUCCUUGUCGGGUAAGUUCCGACCUGCACGAAUGGCGUAACGACUUCCCCGCUGUCUCAAAUGUGGACUCAGCGAAAUUGAAUUGCCUGUCAAGAUGCAGGCUACCCGCGGUUAGACGGAAAGACCCCAUGCACCUUUACUACAACUUUACAUUGGCAUCAGGUACAGCAUGCGCAGGAUAGGUGGUAGGCUUUGAAGCCGGGACUCUGGUCUCGGUGGAGCCU